GUGGUGGAGAUAGUGGUGGUGGUGGUGGUGGAGCCGGAGGCGGAGGUGGAAGAGGUGGUUUCCAGAGAACAGUCGGCUCGAAAGGAAGGGAAAGGGGUUGCUUCGUCGUACAAGAGCACCAACUACGUCUGCCUAUCUUCUAUCUAUCUGCUUAUGCUACUAGACAGUAGUAUAACCUCACAAGCUUCUCUCAUUGACUACCGUCCUUAACGAAAAGAAUCAUAUCGGAAACUGCAAUUAACGGAGAAAGGGGAUGAAAAGGUGAAUGAACGGACUGCGAUGGAACGUAUCUAGGAGGACAGGUACCAUCUGCCUGCCUCGCUAUAGAUAUAAAAAAUGAGGAAAAGAAAAAAGAAAGGGAAAGGAAGUGGAAGAGGAAAUAAGAAGUACCGAAUUAAUCGAUCUGCUUAUUAUACUAUUGGUGCAUUAAACCUUUCCUAAGAAAAAAAAGUAUUUUAAAGUAAAAGAAAAAUAAUGAUUAAGCCAUCCGAAAUGUUUAUAUAUAAAAUUCAUGCAAUUCACUCUUCGAGUUCUUAUCGAAUUUUAUUAUUAUUUGAUUUUAAUCUAUCAAUAUAUUAUAGUUUCAUUCAAUUCCACUUCACUCAAUUACUCAAUUUAUUCAA